rnacentral:rRNA from 1 species
GAUGAACGCUGGCGGCGUGCCUAAUACAUGCAAGUCGAGCGAACAGACGAGGAGCUUGCUCCUCUGACGUUAGCGGCGGACGGGUGAGUAACACGUGGAUAACCUACCUAUAAGACUGGGAUCACUACGGGAAACCGGAGCUAAUACCGGAUAAUAUAUUGAACCGCAUGGUUCAAUAGUGAAAGACGGUUUUGCUGUCACUUAUAGAUGGAUCUGCGCGGCUUGAGCUAGUUGGUAAGGUAACGGCUUACCAAGGCGAGGAUGCGUAGCCGACGUGAGAGGGGGAUAGGCCACAUGGGAGCUGGGACGCGGUCCAGGCUCCUGCGGGAGGCAGCAGUAGGGAAUCUGACGCAGUGGGCGAAAGCCUGACGGAGCAACGCGGCGUGAGUGAUGGAGGUCUUCGGAUCGUAAAACUCUGUUAUUAGGGAAGAACAGAUGUGUAAGGAAAUAUGGACGUCUUGACGGUAACUAGUCAGAAAGCCACGGCUAACUACGUG